UCGAGCCACUAGUUCUGCACACCCAGUUCUUGCCUGCCUGGCAGCCAAGAGGAAAGGGGAAUUACAGACAGGCUGGACUUGAAACACUGCUAUGGCCCCACCUGAGUUUCAGGUGCCCCAGGGAGUCCUUUCAACCACCUGGAAUCGAGGCUGUUUCAAGGAGUAGCUCCACUAAUCCUAAGGAGAAAUGGAAGAGCCAAAGUUGAAAGCACAUCAGGAGUAAAAGGUUCGAGCAGGGAUAAUUUCUGUAUUUAUUUGUGCUCUGAGUUUGCAAAAUGGCCACACUAUCAGAAGAGGAUGACACAUAGAUGGAGAAGGAGUUCUUGUGAAUUUUGUUUAUAGGCAGAGGAUGAGUUCGAGACAGAACUGACCUCAAAUCUCCCAGGAGAGACUCCUGUCAUAUCGACCCCAGACAUGCAUGCCAAGGGUGACCUGACUGUACCAUUCCCCUACACAGGGCUGUUCCUCUUCCAAAAAGACCAUACAACUCAGAGAACAGGCCAAUUUCUCAGCUCAGGAUCUUUUCUAUAUUCUAGAUCUUCUUUAUUUUUAAAAUUAAAAAGUGACAAGUCUCUUCUUGGCCACAGGAUGCUCUAUCUACAUUCAUGUUCGAAAGAAGAAACUACCUUCACCUCAUGGAACUGUAGGAUUUGCAGCAACUAUAGUCUAACAGUCUGUCGCAAGUGUAUUGGAUGUUUCAGUUUGCCAGACCUGUCAUGAGAAAUUAAUUACAGGAUGUUGCAGAAAUGGCAAAGCUCCAGCAGCAUCUUGCUUAGUUUAAUAUAGCCCCAUUUCCCCAUUUCAAUGUAUUUGUGGUUAGAUAAAUCCUCAGAAAUUUACAGCUGCUAUAGGCUAGUUUAUUAUGUACUCUGCCUGCACACAUGAUAAGUAUAAUAAGAAUUUGAUGUUCUUAAAGUACAUAGAUUUCACUGACAUUUCUUUACCACUAUGGAAAUAUUUAGUUGCUAAAAGUAGCAUCUGCAGAAACUUCUGAACAUUAACUUCUGUAAAACCGGCAGAGAUGGUUAAAAACAUCACAGUGCUUAGCCACCUUCCAUUUAUUUGAAACUGAAGAACUGUAUCUCCGUAAAAAGUUGUGUGGAGUGUUUCUAUAAAAUGGUCCCAUGAACAAAUAGAAAAAAAAAAUUAAUUAUUGAUUCUCAGUUGAAAACAUUGAACAACUGAAGCAACCACAUUUUUCUCCAAGGAACUUUCUUCCUUUGGUUUUGAGACUGCUUUUUCACAAGCUUCAGUUGUUCAUUUUUAACAUGGCAACAAUAUAUUUUCCUCACCUGCUUACUUUGUCCUCCUUUUGACUUUCUUUUUUCCUUAACUAUGAUUUUCCCCUCUCAAGUCAUCUCAUUUCAAGCAACUUUAAAGACUGGCAAUGUAGGUGUACUCAUAUAACUCUUGCAUUAAAAAAAAUUCCUGUAUUUUCCUCUACAAAAUUUUUUCACAAUUCUUCACAAAGAACCAAGUGAUGAUUUAAGAAAAAGUGAACUAUCAUGAGUAAAAAUCAAACUGUUUAGUACUUACAGAUAGAAACGACAUUGACGUAUAUUAAGUUGGACCAUUUUGUAAUAGAGGGAGAACAUGUGUUAUGCAUGGUUCUUAUAUAUGUACUUACUUCUGAACCCCCUUUAGAUUGUGAGUAGAGAGUAAAAUUGUAUAUUUUUAGCAGCUUUAUCCUCCCUGUUCUGAGACCAUCAAAAUAACUCAUCCAUAAUCAGCAUGAAUUUGAGGUGUUAGAAGAGCAACUUUCGAAAAGAGGGGGCUCACAACAUAUGCCUGAUGUAGAUUUGAAGAGGAUCAUUAGAAAAAAGCAUUCUUUGUGUUUACAAAACAGAUGUUUUUAUGUUAUCCAGUUCCCGCCUUAACUUAAAAGUAUUCCCUAUUCAUUUUAAUAACUAGAGCAGAAAGAUAUGAUGAAUGCAGUACCUCAUUACCAAGUUCGCUUUCUGGGUCUCUAAAGAGAGUAGCUGUCUACUUUUGCCUAGUAGGUCCAUUGUUAACCCUAAAUGAUGCUGACAUCCAAUUCUCCUGCAGAUAAUUGGGUCCAUCCAUAGACUGAGUUUGCCACUCAACAGAGCCUUUUGAUUGAUGUGACUCUUGAUGUUUUUAUUUUCUCUUAUGUGACU